GUCAAGUAAGAAUACCCGCUGAACUUAAGCAUAUCAAUAAGCGGAGGAAAAGAAACUAACUAGGAUUCCCUUAGUAACGGCGAGUGAACUGGGAAAAGCUCAAAUUUUAAAUCACCCCGGUGAAUUGUAAUUUGAAGAAAGUGAUUUGACUUUUCAGUUUAAUCUAAAUCCUUUGGGAUGAGGUAUCAUAGAGGGUGAGAAUCCCGUUCUUGAUUAAACCUCGGAUUGCGCUAAUUCACUUUCUAAGAGUCGAGUUGUUUGGGAUUGCAGCUCCAAAUGGGUGGUAAAUUUCACCUAAGGCUAAAUAUAUGCAAGAGACCGAUAGCGAACAAGUACCGUGAGGGAAAGAUGAAAAGAACUUUGAAAAGGGAGUUAAAUAGUACGUGAAAUUGUUGAAAGGGAAACGAUUGAAGUCAGUCAUGCUAAUGAGGAAUCAACUUGGUGGUUUACUUCCUUGUGCAUUUUCUCGCUUGGCAGGUUAGCAUCAAUUUUGGUUGUCAUCAAAGAAUUAGGGGAAUGUGGCUUUUCUUCGGUAAAGUGUUAUAGACUCUGAUUGAUGUGGCGACUGGGAUUGAGGUUUGCAGCGAAUGCCUUUUUGGGCUAGUCACCUGUCUUCUGACCGUCACCUCGCUUUUGACAGCUUGCUGAUGAUCGCGGGAUUUGGCGACCUAGGAGUUAGAGUGAACAUAAAUUCGCUAAGGAAGCUGACGUAAUGGCUUUAAACGACCCGUCUUGAAACACGGACCAAGGAGUCUAACAUAUAUGCGAGUGUU
rnacentral:rRNA from 1 species